rnacentral:rRNA from 1 species
UGGGGAAUAUUGCACAAUGGAGGAAACUCUGAUGCAGCGACGCCGCGUGAACGAUGAAGGCUUUCGAGUCGUAAAGUUCUUUUAUAUGGGAAGAUAAUGACGGUACCAUAAGAAAAAGCCCCGGCUAACUACGUGCCAGCAGCCGCGGUAAUACGUAGGGGGCUAGCGUUGUCCGGAAUCACUGGGCGUAAAGGGUUCGCAGGCGGAAAUGCAAGUCAGAUGUAAAAGGCAGUAGCUUAACUACUGUAAGCAUUUGAAACUGCAUAUCUUGAGAAGAGUAGAGGUAAGUGGAAUUUUUAGUGUAGCGGUGAAAUGCGUAGAUAUUAAAAAGAAUACCGGUGGCGAAGGCGACUUACUGGGCUCAUUCUGACGCUGAGGAACGAAAGCGUGGGUAGCAAACAGG